rnacentral:tRNA from 1 species
GCGGGAGUAGCGAAGCCUGGCCAAACGUGCAGGACUUAAGAUCCUGUCCCUUAGUGGGUUCGGGGGUUCAAAUCCCUCCUCCCGCA